GUCUGCUGUUAAAAGUGGAGCUUAACUCCAUCGUGGCAGUGGAAACUGUUGGGCUCCUUAUGGGAGGGGUAGAGGGAAUUCCCGGGGUAGUGGUCUUUUGAGAAGAUAUCGGGAAGAACACCAGUGGCGAAGGCGCUCUGCUGGGCCAUAACUGACGCUCAUGGACGAAAGCCAGGGGAGCGAAAGGGAUUAGAUACCCCUGUAGUCCUGGCCGUAAACGAUGAACACUAGGUGUCGGGGGAAUCGACCCCCUCGGUGUCGUAGCCAACGCGUUAAGUGUUCCGCCUGGGGAGUACGCACGCAAGUGUGAAACUCAAAGGAAUUGACGGGGGCCCGCACAAGCGGUGGAGUAUGUGGCUUAAUUCGAUGCAACGCGAAGAACCUUACCAGGGUUUGACAUCCUGCGAAUCUCCUGGAAACGGGAGAGUGCCUUCGGGAACGCAGCGACAGGUGGUGCAUGGCUGUCGUCUGCUCGCGUCGUGAGAUGUUGGGUUAAGUCCCGCAACGAGCGCACCCCACGUCUUUAGUGGCCAGCAUUCAACUGGGCACUCUAGAGAGACCGCCGGUGAUAAACCGGACGAAGGUGUGGAUGACGUCUAGUCAUCAUGCCCCUUACGUCCUGGGCUACACGCGUACUACAAUGCUACGGACAAGGGGCAGCAAACUCGCGAGAGCUAGCAUAUCCCAUAUAGCGUGCCGUCACUCAGAUCGUAGGCUGCGGCUCGCCUACGUGAAGGAGGAAUCGCUAGCAAUCGCAAGUCAGCAUACUGCGGUGAAUACCUUCCCGGGCCUUGUACCACCGCCCGUCACACCAUGAAAUUGGCCACGCCCGAGCCCGUACUCCACCCUUGGGGAGGAGACGUCAAAGGGGGCUGAUGACUGGGGUGAAGCGUAACA
rnacentral:rRNA from 1 species